UUUCCGUAGGUGAACCUGCGGAAGGAUCAUUAAUGUACCCGGACCGUUCCUUUGCCGUAAAACGCACUGUAUUGGAAUGGGAGAUAUCAUACACCCUGUGUUUAUUUACUUUUGUUGCUUUGGUGGGCCGUCCUUUACGGCGUCGGCCUCGGCUGUUCGCGCCCGCUAGAAGACCCAAACUCUUUUAUUAGUGAUGUCUGAGUACUAUAUAAUUGUUAAAACUUUCAACAACGGAUCUCUCGGUUCUG
rnacentral:misc_RNA from 1 species